UAAUGAAUGUAGCAUGGUACUGUGCACGAAAACUAAGCUUUUGCGGAUCGACAUGUCUGCCAUCUCUGAGUNNNNCCUUGAUGAGACGGCCUGGUUUAGAUCCACAUUC
rfam:Arabis alpina cultivar Pajares chromosome 8, whole genome shotgun sequence.